rnacentral:rRNA from 1 species
UGGGGAAUAUUGCACAAUGGGCGCAAGCCUGAUGCAGCCAUGCCGCGUGUAUGAAGAAGGCCUUCGGGUUGUAAAGUACUUUCAGUCGGGAGGAAGGUGUCAAGGUUAAUAACCUUGGCAAUUGACGUUACCGACAGAAGAAGCACCGGCUAACUCCGUGCCAGCAGCCGCGGUAAUACGGAGGGUGCAAGCGUUAAUCGGAAUUACUGGGCGUAAAGCGCACGCAGGCGGUUGAUUGAGUCAGAUGUGAAAUCCCCGGGCUUAACCCGGGAAUUGCAUCUGAUACUGGUCAGCUAGAGUCUUGUAGAGGGAGGUAGAAUUCCAUGUGUAGCGGUGAAAUGCGUAGAGAUGUGGAGGAAUACCGGUGGCGAAGGCGGCCCCCUGGACAAAGACUGACGCUCAGGUGCGAAAGCGUGGGGAGCAAACAGG